AUAAAUUAUUGAAAUUAAUAAAGAAAUUAAAUUUAAAAGCAAGAAAGUGUAGUUAUAUUACAGAAAAAAAGUUAAUAGAAAAUUUCUACUUCCUCGUUUUUUCAUAUUUCUUUUUUUUUUACUUGGGUCACUUUUUUUUCUUUGCUGUGGUUCGAUAUAUAAGUUUGAUGUAACAACAACAAUAACGUUGUACACCAAAAACGGAGUGUUUUAUUAUUAAAUCCCUAAAAGAGUAAAAGAGAUGACGCUAGUGUUGUGAAUAAAGAAAAGUGUUGUACAUACAGAAAAAUUACUAAGAUAUUUUGUGAAAAAAACGAAAUGAAAAUUCAAUGGAAAACAAGUGUAUAAAAGAAAAAUUUAUAAGAAAAGAAAUCUAAUAAAUUUAAACUUAAAUAUAAAGUACUAGAAGUUGUUUUUAUAAAAUAUUAAAAAAAAAUUAUGUGUUAAAAGUGUUUGUAAAAUAAAUUAAAAAUUAAUAUUGGGCUACCGGCUUUAUAAAGUGCAUUUAUGAAAUAUUUUCAUGGCAGUACUUUACCUACUCAUCACACCUUUACAAAAACAAACAGAAAAGGGCCUCAAGUGCAAUUAACUCUCCAUAAGAAAAAUCACAAAAUUAAAGCAAGAAAACGCCAAAAAUAAAAAAACGCCGAACACGUUAUACAAACAAAAAAAAUAAUAAUAAAAAUAAUCAAGUGUAAAUAAAUCCUGUAUUAAAAAAUAAAUUAUUACGUGAAUUGAACAUGUUUAAUAUAAAUAACAUAAUUUUCAUAUUUUUUUUGCGUUAAAUUUUAACUUAUAAAAAUUAAAUAAUAUACUCAACAUUAUAUAAAGUGUGGUCAGCCGUUUUAACGCUAACAUUGUGUAUAUAAAUAAAAAAAAGAAAAUAAAUGUCUACUUUUUAAAAUCCUUAAAGCAAAAUAAAAAAAUAAAUAAAAUAAUUACUCUUCAUUAUACUAACAACAAUACUACUAAAAAGAACUACAACAACAUAAAUAGAAAAACAAACGACCAAUUUGACACAUCGUACUCUAAAUAAUCAGUACAACAAGUGUAAAAAAAAAACAAACACAAAAAGACAAACAAACAAAAUUACAGCAACAACAAAACAAGUGAAGAAAAAAAAACUAAUAAAAAAGUGUUUUUUUUUUAGAAGAAAGUGCUUGUGUUUUUGAAAAAAGAAUUAAAUAAACUUCAUUAUUUUCUUUUUAAUAUUUAAUAAAUGCAUUUAAUUUUUAUCCUAUAGUUUAUUAAAGAAUAUAUUUAAAAAAAUAAAAGAAAUUUUCUAAACACUUUCAUGCAAAUGUCACUUAACAAAUGAAUGAUUGUAGUAGCAGUUAUGGGUUUAACAAUUCACAGUGAAUGACAGUAAACCUUUAAUAGUGAAAAAUAAACAAAAACUUAAAAACAAAAACAAAACAACGUUAUCUAUUUUAUUAUUUUCUUCUUCGCUCUUCUUUUUUUCGAAUAUUUUUUUUUUUGUUGCUGAAACCAUUUCUCAUCAUAAAUAUAGACGUCGUCGUUAACGUUAUCGUUGAUUUUUUGCUGUGGUCGUUGUAAACGAAAUGCAACGACGUGAACCACGACAAUCAGGUUAUGCCACAUCUAUAUGUGUUGGAGUAUAACCGCUCCAUUAAGUUGUCAUUGUGCCUGGAACACCAUUUAUAACCAAUACACUCAGCCCAGUUUACAAGAAGCGUUAUCAGAAAAUCUUACAAAAGGAUAUCAUCAUAGUUGAGUAUGUAUAUUAUUUUUUAAAAA